GAUGAACGCUGGCGGCGUGCCUAAUACAUGCAAGUCGAGCGAACGGACGAGAAGCUUGCUUCUCUGAUGUUAGCGGCGGACGGGUGAGUAACACGUGGAUAACCUACCUAUAAGACUGGGAUAACUUCGGGAAACCGGAGCUAAUACCGGAUGAUAUUUUGAACCGCAUGGUUCAAAAGUGAAAGACGGUCUUGCUGUCACUUAUAGAUGGAUCCGCGCUGCAUUAGCUAGUUGGUAAGGUAACGGCUUACCAAGGCAACGAUGCAUAGCCGACCUGAGAGGGUGAUCGGCCACACUGGAACUGAGACACGGUCCAGACUCCUAUGGGAGGCAGCAGUAGGGAAUCUUCCGCAAUGGGCGAAAGCCUGACGGAGCAACGCCGCGUGAGUGAUGAAGGUCUUCGGAUCGUAAAACUCUGUUAUUAGGGAAGAACAUAUGUGUAAGUAACUGUGCACAUCUUGACGGUACCUAAUCAGAAAACCACGGCUAACUACGUG
rnacentral:rRNA from 1 species